rnacentral:rRNA from 1 species
CGCGUAGGUGGUUCGAUAAGUCGCUGGUGAAAUUCCGGGGCUCAACUCCGGAGCUGCCGGCGAGACUGUCGGACUUGAGCACGGUAGGGGCAGAUGGAAUUCCCGGUGUAGCGGUGGAAUGCGUAGAUAUCGGGAAGAAUACCAGUGGCGAAGGCGUUCUGCUGGGCCGUUGCUGACACUGAGGCGCGACAGCGUGGGGAGCAAACA